rnacentral:rRNA from 1 species
UUUAAAGAAAGCGUAAUAGCUCACUAGUCGAGUCGGCCUGCGCGGAAGAUAUAACGGGGCUCAAACAUGGUACCGAAGCUACGGACUUGUGCUUGCACAAGUGGUAGAGGAGCGUUCUGUAAGCCGUUGAAGGUGGAUUGAGAAGUCUGCUGGAGGUAUCAGAAGUGCGAAUGCUGGCAUGAGUAACGACAAACACUGUGAAAGACAGUGUCGCCGAAAGUCCAAGGGUUCCUGCGUAAAGUUAAUCUUCGCAGGGUUAGCCGACCCCUAAGGCGAGGCCGAAAGGCGUAGUCGAUGGGAAUGCAGUGAAUAUUCUGCAGCCAGUGGAUGGUGACGAAUCCCGUAUGUUGUCCGACCUUAAUGGAUUGGUUGGGCCUCGAAGGGGUUCCAGGAAAUAGCCUCCACAUCAGAUCGUACCCGAAACCGACACAGGUGGACUGGUAGAGUAUACCAAGGCGCUUGAGAGAAGGGUGUUGAAGGAACUCGGCAAAUUGCCUCCGUACCUUCGGAAGAAGGAGGCCCU